ACACACGCUACAAUGGAAGGGACAAUAGGUUGCGAAGCCGCGAGGUGGAGCCAAUCCAGCAAAACUUCCCUCAGUUCAGAUUGCAGGCUGCAACUCGCCUGCAUGAAGUCGGAAUCGCUAGUAAUCGCAGGUCAGCAUACUGCGGUGAAUACGUUCCCGGGCCUU
rnacentral:rRNA from 1 species